ACGACCUUACUUGAACAGGAUCUGUUCUAUAGGCUCGUACCAUUGUAUCCUAGAUUUCUAAGGAGACAGGAAACCAAGUCUGGUGGAUGAAAUUUGGCCAUGAGACUAGAGCGUGACUAACAGCUUUGGUGUGGUCCUUGGGCUUACUUGCGCAGUAGAUGAUCGUUCUCAGGCCUCUCGAGGGUCUGGGGUGGUCUCUUGGCUUUCUGACAGACU